rnacentral:tRNA from 1 species
AGUAGGGUCUGCUAAGUAAGCCCUUGGGCCCAUACCCCAAGUAUGUAGGUUAAAAUCCUUCCUCUACUA